rnacentral:rRNA from 1 species
AUUGAACGCUGGCGGCAGGCCUAACACAUGCAAGUCGAGCGAGCGGCGGACGGGUGAGUAAUGUAUGGGGACUGCCCGAUAGAGGGGGAUCACUCCUGGCAACGGUGGCUAAUACCGCAUACUAUCGGAUAACCCAUAUGGGAUUAGCGAGCAGGUGGGGUAAAGGCUCACCUAGGCGACGAGCUCUAGCUGGUCUGAGAGGAUGACCAGCCACACUGUGACUGAGACACGUCCCAGACUCCUACGGAGGCAGCAGUGGGGAAUAUUGCGCAAUUGGUGCGACCCUGACGCAGCCAUGCCGCGUGAAGGAAGAAGGCCUUCGGGUUGUAAAGUUCUUGCGGUCGGGAGGCGUUACCGACAGAAGAAGCACCGGCUAACUCCGUGCCAGCAGCCGCGGUAAUAC